rnacentral:ncRNA from 1 species
UUGGUCCUAAACUUGCCGUUGUUUUUAAUAAAAUUUAUACAUGCAAGCUUCAACACACCAGUGAGAAUGCCCAAACCCCCCGAACAGCGGGUAGGAGCAGGCAUCAGGAGCAAACAAUUCGCCUAAAACGCCUUGCUACGCCACACCCACAAGGGCUUUCAGCAGUAAAAAAUAUUAAGAAAUAAGCGAAAGCUUGACUUAGUUAUUAUUAAACUGGUCGGUAAAUUUCGUGCCAGCCACCGCGGUUACACGAAAGACCAAAAACAACGACCCACGGCGUAAAGAGUGAUGAAAGUAAGCAUAGCCUUUAAAGAAGAAUUGCAACAAAGUUGUAAAACACUACUGUCUGCAAGAACCACAACAACAAAAUGCCUUUACACCACUUAACCUCACGAAAGCUAAGGAACAAACUGGGAUUAGAUACCCCACUAUGCUUAGCCGUAAACGAAGACAGUGAAAAUACAACGCUGUUCGCCAGAGAACUACAAGCACAAAGCUCAAAACUCCAAGGACUUGGCGGUGCUCCAUAUCAACCUAGAGGAGCCUGUCCUAUAAUCGAUACCCCACGAUCUACCUCACCACUUUUUGAAACUCAGCCUAUAUACCGCCGUCCCCAGCCUACCUUGUGAAAGAAACAAAGUAGGCGGAACAGCCACUCACUAGAACGUCAGGUCAAGGUGUAGCACAUAAAGUGGAAGAGAUGGGCUACACUCUCUCCCCCAGAGAAUACGAACAGCACAAUGAAACCCUGCUCGAAGGUGGAUUUAGCAGUAAGAUGGACAAGAGUGCCCAUCUUAAACAAGCCCUGGAGCGCGCACACACCGCCCGUCACCCUCAUCA